rnacentral:rRNA from 1 species
UACGAAGGGUGCUAGCGUUGUUCGGAAUUACUGGGCGUAAAGCGCACGUAGGCGGAUUUGUUAGUCAGGGGUGAAAUCCCGGGGCUCAACCUCGGAACUGCCUUUGAUACUGCAAGUCUAGAGUCCGGAAGAGGUGGGUGGAAUUCCUAGUGUAGAGGUGAAAUUCGUAGAUAUUAGGAAGAACACCAGUGGCGAAGGCGGCCCACUGGUCCGGUACUGACGCUGAGGUGCGAAAGCGUGGGGAGCAAACAGG